rnacentral:rRNA from 1 species
GAUAAACGCUAGCGGUGUGCAUUAUGCAUGCAAGUCGAGCGGUAUAUCGAAAGAUAUGCAGCGGCAAACGGCUGAGUAACACGUAAGUAAUCCAUCCCAAAGUGGGGAAUAAUCCGCCGAAAGGUGGACUAAUACCGCAUGUGGUAGUGGAAUUAGUUUUUCAUUACUAAAGCUCACGGGCGCUUAGGGAAGAGCUUGCGUCCUAUCAGGUAGUUGGUGGGGUAACGGCCUACCAAGCCUUCGACGGGUAGCUGGUCUGAGAGGAUGUCCAGCCAGACGGGGACUGAGACACGGCCCCGACUCCUACGGGAGGCAGCAGCAGGGAAUUUUGCGCAAUGGGCGAAAGCCUGACGCAGCAACACCGCGUGAGGGAAGACAGCCUUCGGGUCGUAAACCUCUUUUAUCAGGGAAGAAUAAUGACGGUACCUGAUGAAUAAGUCACGGCUAACUACGUGCCAGCAGCCGCCGUAACAC